GACGAACGCUGGCGGCGUGCUUAACACAUGCAAGUCGAACGAAGAGCGAUGGAAGCUUGCUUCUAUCAAUCUUAGUGGCGAACGGGUGAGUAACGCGUAAUCAACCUGCCCUUCAGAGGGGGACAACAGUUGGAAACGACUGCUAAUACCGCAUACGAUCUGACCUCGGCAUCGAGGAUAGAUGAAAGGUGGCCUCUAUUUAUAAGCUAUCACUGAAGGAGGGGAUUGCGUCUGAUUAGCUAGUUGGAGGGGUAACGGCCCACCAAGGCGAUGAUCAGUAGCCGGUCUGAGAGGAUGAACGGCCACAUUGGGACUGAGACACGGCCCAGACUCCUACGGGAGGCAGCAGUGGGGAAUCUUCCGCAAUGGACGAAAGUCUGACGGAGCAACGCCGCGUGAGUGAUAACGGCCUUCGGGUUGUAAAGCUCUGUUAAUCGGGACGAAAGGCCUUCUUGCGAAUAGUUAGAAGGAUGACGGUACCGG
rnacentral:rRNA from 1 species